AUACGGAGGGGGCUAGCGUUGUUCGGAUUUACUGGGCGUAAAGCGCGCGUAGGCGGGCUGGUCAGUUGGGGGUGAAAUCCCAGGGCUUAACCCUGGAACUGCCCUCAAUACUGCCAGUCUUGAGUUCGAGAGAGGUAAGUGGAAUUCCUAGUGUAGAGGUGAAAUUCGUAGAUAUUAGGAAGAACACCAGUGGCGAAGGCGGCUUACUGGCUCGAUACUGACGCUGAGGCGCGAAAGCGUGGGGAGCAAACAGGAUUAGAAACCCCGGUAGUCC
rnacentral:rRNA from 1 species